ensembl:lncRNA
AAUAAAAGGCAGAAGAAGAAAGGCAUCAGUGGGUUUAUUUAAAAGAAUGUGGCAGACUGUAAAAAGUGCAACACAAAACAAUGAAGUGGGCCCUCUUCUGCCACAGCCUAACACAAAUUUAGUGGGCCCUCAGCCAGAUCCAUCAGUUCUUGAGCCAGUGGUUCUACAGGUUCCAACCGAUCCUCAACCAAAUCAAUCCAAACUUAAAUCAAUGGCUCUGCAGGACCCAGAUGAUCCUCAACCAGGUCCAUCUGUCCUUGAGACAGCAGUUCUGCAGGAUCCAGAUGAUCAUCAGCCGGAUCCAUCUGUUCUCAAGCCCACGGCUCUGCAGAAUCCAGUUGUUCCUCGUACAUUGCCACCUUGGCCUGUCCAGAGUUCUUUCAGGCGAAGAAGACGCAUUGGAGAUCCAGUUCCAUACAUCCCUCCAGCUACUCUUCCAUUUGGUGAACUUUAUGAAUGGGGAAGGUUAAUUGGAAAAGGAGGCAAUGGCUCUGUGUAUGAGGGGAUCCGGAAAUCUGAUGGCCAGAAGGUCGCCAUCAAAUUUAUUCCAAAGAGGACAAGCGACAAUUAUAUAAAAAUUGCAAGUUGGCAAAACUUUAUAAAUAUAUCUCAAUUAAUCAAAUUUAUCUAA